rnacentral:rRNA from 1 species
GGACCCGCACAAGUAGUGGAGCAUGUGGUUUAAUUCGAAGAUACGCGCAGAACCUUACCAACACUUGACAUGUUCGUCGCGACUUUAAGAGAUUAAAGUUUUCGGUUCGGCCGGACGAAACACAGGUGCUGCAUGGCUGUCGUCAGCUCGUGUCGUGAGAUGUUGGGUUAAGUCCCGCAACGAGCGCAACCCUCACUUUUAGUUGCCAUCAUUUAGUUGGGCACUCUGAAAGAACUGCCAGUGAUAAGCUGGAGGAAGGUGGGGAUGACGUCAAGUCCUCAUGGCCCCUUACGUGUUGGGCUACACACGUGCUACAAUGGUAUCUACAACAGGAAGCCAAAAAUCUGCGAAGUU